rnacentral:rRNA from 1 species
UUUAGGGCACUACGAACACAACCCUUAAAACCCAAAGAACUUGGCGGCGUCCUAAACCCAAUCAGGGGAGCCUGUCCUAGAAUGGACAAUCCACAACUUAAAUAACUCUUCUUUGUAAUACCAGUCUGUAUACCGCCGUCGCCAGCACACCUAAAAAAGAAAAACAGUGUGCCCCAAAUCCCCCAUAAAACGUCAGGUCAAGGUGCARCCGAUAGAAGAGAAGAGAUGGGCUACAAUUGUUAACAACACCGAAAUCCACAAUGAAAAAAGGAAAAAGAAGGACUUGAAAGUAACARAAAAAAGAACUUCCGUAAAUAA